GGAGGUUAUGGGACGAAGAGGAGGAGAAAGAGGAAUAAGUGUUGGGGGGCAGAUUUGUAUAGGGAGAUGGAGAGGACUAGUGCGGCAGAAGCGGCAGCGGGGAAAAGAGACUGGUCGACGGUUUUGGAUCCGCCGACACCACGCUGUAGUUUGCCACCGCUAACUGGUGGAAGAAUGGUGGAGCAGCUGUCUACGGCGGUCGUCGUUGGCCGGAAAGGGAAAGCAAUGUAAAAUCAAGAUCUACCGGAGCGGCUAUCGACCGUCCAAUUUUGUAACUGUGCUCACUGUGCAUUCCACUAAU
rnacentral:lncRNA from 1 species